GCUUAGCACCUUUGAAUUUCAGGACACCUCUUUGUUAUGUGAUCCUAAUGUGGAGAAGAUUAUUUAUGCCUAUCAUUAAAGAAAAAAAAUCAAUCCAAUAGGUGCAACUGAAAUUCAGAAUGUCCAAAACCAUUAUUUUUAUGCCAUGCAACGUAGAUGUCUAUUAAAAAGCAAAAUUAUUAAGGCAUUCUCAGUAAAAAUACAGAGUUUUUAAAGUUUUUUAAAAAUAUAUUUUUCAAGAUGCUGAAAUUUGCCUGGAAGACUUUACCAAGAGCAUUUUUUGUCUGCUUAUUACUGUGUGCAGCAAAUAAUCAAGGAGAUAACAGUAUUGUAGAAUUUAACUUAAGAAAGAAUGUAAUUAGAUUCUUCUGGGCUUAUCUGAUACGGGAUUAUGUGUGUUUCUUCUAAGCUUUUUUUUCUCUUGGUAUAGAUAGCAGCCUCAAAUCACUGUUUCAGCUGCGAUUACAGGCGCAAAAACAAGAAGAAGAAACUCUUCCACACUGUCUGAUAUACUGCUGCUAAUGGCCGAUCUGCUCCUUGGUCCACAAGAGGAAUGGGAACAGCUUUGACCUCGUUUCCUAUUCACCUCCCUCGCUCCCACCCGUUUUUUCCCCAGCUUUGCCCAUGCAGACCGAGCGGGGCAAAGCACAGACAUGGGACCACGCAGGUGUAAAGAGAAAGCCUGGAAGACCUGCAAACCUCACUUCUCCUGAGGAAACAUCUGGAAGUCCUACCAGAAGUGCUCCACUUCUGAAAGCCACGUAGGAGAAACAGCAUUAAGUCUGAAGAGGACUUCGAAGCAUCAGAAAGGAAAUGGUCUUUUGAAAUGAACUGUGAUAUUCUGGCUGCUUUUGUGUUAGACAGAGUUGGAAUGACAUAUGAAAUGGCAGCUCACCAAUCUGAGUGCUCUGCUAGGCUGCGGGCUGUCGGAUGCUGUGCUGACUUGUGUCCUUUCCAUGCUGCAAUGUCGUGCCAAGAGGCCAGGGCCUUGUGGAGGGAGGCGCAUCCGGAGAAACAAACACAGCGCAUCUACAAUGUGAGCGGAACAAAAUUAGAAUUGUCUCUUUGGGGUUUUUUAAAGCUCUUCAUUAAAAUACCUGCAGAGGAAUUUUGCACUGGAAGUACACCCAUCUAUUUUCCUCUGUCUGCUGCGCGGAAGACAAGCAUUCUCAUAAUUGGGCCAUUAAAGGAGGUGUUGAAAUGUUACUAAUUGUCAAAGGCAAUUAAGUGUAGCAACAUGUCACAGGUAAAUUAAUGAGACUCCAGGUGUUCUGAACAAACUGCAUUUAUGUGAGUGUAAAAUGACUUCUAUUUUCUCUGCUACCUGUCUGCACAGUUUUGGUAUUCCUUUUUUUGGGGGGGGGGGGUGCUCCAUGAUAUACAACAUAUUGCACAGCCGCAGUUUCUCAAAUUUAGAGGUGCUGUUGACCCAUAACUACUAUAUUCUGUGCCUUUUGAAAAUCAGGCUGUGUAUGACUUUGCAGUUCACUGUUGGGACUUUUGUUUUAAUGGUGAAAACAUGUGCUGCCUUUUUGGCUCUCCAUGCCUAGCUGUCCAUGCAGGCUUGGGCUAUUAGAGUUCAAAUGCCUUUUCCAUGCUGUUCAACAGCCCCAUAGCAAGGCAGUGCAAGGAGGCACCUUCCUCCUAUUUUAUUUUAGAAGUCUGCAUUCAUACUUGUUAUGCUACUUCUGUCUUAUGCUAUGCAAGUUUUGCCAUGAUCUAGUCUUGAAUUACACUGAAAUAGAGUUAAAGCAACUUUUUUUUUUUGAAAUCACUGCAGUUGCUUUGGAUGUACACCAUAGUAGUUUGGCCAGAACGUGAUCAGUAUUUGUUUCUGAGCAUGUUAGGUAGCUGAUAUUCCUUGAUGUGAUGUAUUAUUCAUUCCUCAGCAUAAGGGACUGCUUUUGGAUGGUUGCUUUUAUCAAUAGCUAUCUGUCUUCAUCAAACAUGUUUGACUUGCAAAGCUAAGGAUUCAAAAGCAGCCAGGUUUUUUUUUAAAGGGUUUAUUAUACUGCAGAAUAGUUUUGCUCAUUUGGAAUUUGGUUGUCAUCUCUCUUCAAAGGAUUAGUUUUAGAGGGAAGAAACAACUCAUGAGAUGGAAACAAUAUUGUACAAUGUCAUUUACUAUAUAAAUACGAAGUCCUAUAUAAAGGCUCUUGAUAAUUCAUUAGUCAUCUGGAGUAUAGCAUAUUAAAAAUACUUUGAGCAUAAAUUUGUGUAUUACUUCAUGCUUGACAUGCUGCCCGUGCAUUCUUGCACCUUUUACUUCCUUAUUUAUAUUUACAGCAUAUUUAGGAAAUAUCUA